UGGCGAACGGGUGAGUAACACGUGAGCAACCUGCCCCCGACUCUGGGAUAACCCCGGGAAACCGGAGCUAAUACCGGAUACGACACGCUCGGGCAUCCGAUGCGUGUGGAAAGAUUUAUCGGUUGGGGAUGGGCUCGCGGCCUAUCAGCUUGUUGGUGGGGUAACGGCCUACCAAGGCUUUGACGGGUAGCUGGUCUGAGAGGACGAUCAGCCGGAUUGGGACUGAGAUACGGCCCAG
rnacentral:rRNA from 1 species